rnacentral:rRNA from 1 species
UACGGAGGGUGCAAGCGUUGCUCGGAAUUAUUGGGCGUAAAGGGUAGGUAGGUGGUCUUAUUUGUCUGGGGUGAAAGCCUUGAGCUUAACUCAAGAAGUGCCCCAGAAACGGUGAGACUAGAGUCCUGGAGAGGGUCGUGGAAUUCCCGGUGUAGCGGUGAAAUGCGUAGAGAUCGGGAGGAACACCAGAGGCGAAAGCGGCGACCUGGACAGGUACUGACACUCAACUACGAAAGCGUGGGGAGCAAACAGGA